rnacentral:rRNA from 1 species
AACGAACGCUGGCGGCAGGCCUAACACAUGCAAGUCGAGCGCGCCCUUCGGGGUGAGCGGCGGACGGGUGAGUAACGCGUGGGAAUAUGCCCUUCACUGCGGAAUAGCCUUUGGAAACGAAGAGUAAUACCGCAUACGCCCUUCGGGGGAAAGAUUUAUCGGUGAAGGAUUAGCCCGCGUUGGAUUAGGUAGUUGGUGGGUAAAAGCCUACCAAGCCGACGAUCCAUAGCUGGUUUGAGAGGAUGAUCAGCCACACUGGGACUGAGACACGGCCCAGACUCCUACGGGAGGCAGCAGUGGGGAAUCUUAGACAAUGGGGGAAACCCUGAUCUAGCCAUGCCGCGUGAGUGACGAAGGCCCUAGGGUCGUAAAGCUCUUUCAGCUGUGAAGAUAAUGACGGUAGCAGCAGAAGAAACCCCGGCUAACUCCGUG